CUUAGAGUUUGAUCCUGGCUCAGAACGAACGCUGGCGGCGUGCUUAACACAUGCAAGUCGAACGUGAUUGAGAGCUUGCUCUCAUGAAAGUGGCGCACGGGUGAGUAACACGUGGAUAAUCUGCCUGGCGAUUCGGGAUAACACUUCGAAAGGGGUGCUAAUACCGGAUAAGCCCACGGGCUCUUCGGAGCCUGCGGGAAAAGGUGGCCUCUAUUUAUAAGCUACCGCAUCAUGAUGGGU
rnacentral:rRNA from 1 species